AGUCGAACGGCAGCACGGGAGCAAUCCUGGUGGCGAGUGGCGAACGGGUGAGUAAUACAUCGGAACGUGUCCUGUAGUGGGGGAUAGCCCGGCGAAAGCCGGAUUAAUACCGCAUACGCUCUACGGAGGAAAGGGGGGGAUCUUAGGACCUCCCGCUACAGGGGCGGCCGAUGGCAGAUUAGCUAGUUGGUGGGGUAAAGGCCUACCAAGGCGACGAUCUGUAGCUGGUCUGAGAGGACGACCAGCCACACUGGGACUGAGACACGGCCCAGACUCCUACGGGAGGCAGCAGUGGGGAAUUUUGGACAAUGGGGGAAACCCUGAUCCAGCAAUGCCGCGUGUGUGAAGAAGGCCUUCGGGUUGUAAAGCACUUUUGUCCGGAAAGAAAACCUCUGGGUUAAUACCCCGGGGGGAUGACGGUACCGGAAGAAUAAGCACCGGCUAACUACGUGCCAGCAGCCGCGGUAAUACGUAGGGUGCAAGCGUUAAUCGGAAUUACUGGGCGUAAAGCGUGCGCAGGCGGUCCGCUAAGACAGAUGUGAAAUCCCCGGGCUUAACCUGGGAACUGCAUUUGUGACUGGCGGGCUAGAGUAUGGCAGAGGGGGGUAGAAUUCCACGUGUAGCAGUGAAAUGCGUAGAGAUGUGGAGGAAUACCGAUGGCGAAGGCAGCCCCCUGGGCCAAUACUGACGCUCAUGCACGAAAGCGUGGGGAGCAAACAGGAUUAGAUACCCUGGUAGUCCACGCCCUAAACGAUGUCAACUAGUUGUCGGGUCUUCAUUGACUUGGUAACGUAGCUAACGCGUGAAGUUGACCGCCUGGGGAGUACGGUCGCAAGAUUAAAACUCAAAGGAAUUGACGGGGACCCGCACAAGCGGUGGAUGAUGUGGAUUAAUUCGAUGCAACGCGAAAAACCUUACCUACCCUUGACAUGUAUGGAAUCCUGCUGAGAGGUGGGAGUGCCCGAAAGGGAGCCAUAACACAGGUGCUGCAUGGCUGUCGUCAGCUC
rnacentral:rRNA from 1 species